UAAGAAGGCGAGUCAUCCAGACAUGCCCGUGUUUCUCCUUCUUCUACAUGGACAGACGCUUGUGGAAAUCACACAUGAAUACCUGAGGAGAAAGAGCUUGCAGCAUACACUUCUUAGACGGCAAGAGAACCUUCCAAUGUCCAGGUCAGCUGUGAUGCUACCUAGCAAAAAAUCGUGUCCAUUUGUCAAAGGAGAGUCUAUGAGAAUGCGAGCUCCCGUGGGUGUGAAAAAAAAGGUGUGAUUCACUACAACAGGGCCACACAGCACACUGGAUUCCAGGAUACCCAGAAUGCCGCUUCAGUGUUGAUGAAAGGCUGUAACGAUACAGUACUUUACUGUUUGUCACGGCGUAAGCUCGAUUCCGCAUGUCAACUGCAGCAGGUUCUACCAGCGCUUCCGCCUCCAGCACACCAGGAUACACCCCUAUUCGUUCUGGCCGCCUCACGCCCAUUAGCCGGCAAAGCUGCAAGCAAUCUGCUAUCAGCGCACCUGGGAAAUGAUGACAAGCAGUAUAAAGAACA